AAGGGCUGACUGCCACUGGGGGAAGGAUCUCUUUCUGGAGAUUGCUCCCUUUGGAGUUUUUCUGCAAGCCUAGGAUGCAGUUGCAGAGCAACGGGGGGCCGGCUUGCUCAGAAAGCAUACUUAUGCAAGUAUUAAGAACUGGCUGAGAUAAGAAGUAAAGCUUAAGAGACCUUCAUCAUUAGCUGCUAGUGGUGGAGAUUAGUGAUCCUACUACAGGAUUACAGAUGGAAAGAGUGCUAGUGUUGGUUAAUUGUUCAUUAAUGCUUGUAAAAUAAGAGUGGUAGUGAAACUUGCUGUUGUCUACUCUCUCAAAGUGACUCAAAAUUGGAUCUGUUUGUCAAUAGCUGCAUUGAUGUUAACGGGAAUGUAUUUAACAGAUCAUUUUACAGUGUAAACUGCAGUCCACCUCUUUCAACAUUUAAUUAGAUGCUAUUAUCCUAAUAAGAAAUAAUUCAUGCUUUUAAUAAUCUCUUCUCUGUACACACAUGUUUUAUCAUUCUAAUUAGCGAUGCUUUCACUGGGUUGCUUUUCAGGGCUUGCAUAUAAAUCUCAGAUGGAACACUACCUCUCUGUAGACCCAUGGAUUUAUUUUAUUUACACUACUUUCAGUGCUGCCAUCCUUUCCCAGUAGUGCUCUUCUGUAACAUUAGGGAACAACAGCUGAGUUCUAGGUAGUGGGAGCCCACUCUGUGUUGAAACCAAGGGGUCUGCAGACUUCUGUUAGCAAAAACCUGUGGGCAGGGCAUAGGGCAGGGCUACCUCACUACAGCACUUGUGGGUAAUGUGCUAGUCUGACAGGAAUGGGACUGCUGCUCUUAGGAACCUUGAGCCUUUUGGGCAAACUUGAGAAGCAAAGGUGAAUCUCCAUUUUAAUUAACAAAGGGUAAACUUUGAAUGAAUGCUAAUCCUGGAGAAAAUAUACAUUUCCAAGAAACUGUAGCUGUCCAGGAAAUAAAAGACACAAGGAAACUCUGUACCUUCCAUACUACUUCCCUAGCAUUAAAAAAUCAAGGGAUCUGAGUCCUUCCCUUCAUCACACCACUACCGAAUUUUCCUCUGUGUGCCUUAGUCAAGGAUAAUGGCACUGCCAUUGUUCAAGAUGAUUGGCAAUGCCCCAGUCUCUGGUCUGCUUUGUUGGGCCUUUGGGAGGAACCAGAGGAGCCUGAAGGGUGGCUUUAGCAAAAGCCAGAUGCCACCAGCCCUGGGGGAGUGCUGCAGCAUCCUAGCAGUGACAGGGUUGCUGAGGAGUCCUGGCCAGGGGCCUGGCACAGGCAGCAGUGUGAGAAGCUGCUCUGCUCUGAGAGCUGUCCUGACUGAGGAUGUAGUAACCAACACAAACAAUCCUGCUGAACCCCACUGAUAUAUCUGCCCUGCCAAUGCCAGGGACCAUGGGAAGGAACCACUGCAAUGGGCUCAGUGGACAGGUCACUCCUGCUGUCAUCUCCAAGCAAACAAGCAUGUGAGAUGCUCCACGGAGAAAUGUGAGUGCAGCUAUGCCUCUGUCAGUUGAUAAGCAACAAUACUGCUGGUUAAUUGCUUCUAAAGUGUUAACCAGCAGAUAAUCAGUCUUAAGGAUUUAAACUCAGUAACCCUUUUAAUGUGAUAUAGAAUGAGAAGUGAAUAAAUAAUUGCAUGCUGAGACCUGCCACUGAGAUACAUAAGAUGUGGGUUAAAGAUAGAGAAUAACAAAACCUGACUGAAAUGUUUGGGAAGAUGAGAAAGAUGCAAGUCACAACCUCAGUCUGCAAUAUGAAUCCAAGCCCAGCUUUUCUAUAAUGACUGUUUUGAUAGGAGUAACAAAUAAUAGCCAACUUGUCUGUGCUGAGAGUUAACCCCAGUACAGAAACAAAACCACUCUAUUCUUAAUUUAGUAACUAAAGAAGAAUGCCAUAGAGAGGCUGAGUGGAAGAUUGUAACAAAUGCUGGAGCUUUCCUUAUAGCUCAUCGACUUCUCCUCUCCUGCAGCAUGUGUUUAUGGGUGCUUCUUCAAUUGCUGAGGCUAUAAAUUACUUUCCCAGCAAACUGCCCUAGUUCUGCUUUGGACGCAACCUCUGGGCCUGGCAGUAACCGUUCAGUUCAGGCCAUUCAGCAGCAGUAUGACGGGCAAAGAAAAAUAAAGAAAUCAUUAUUGUGGCUUUGUUAUAUUGAUGGGAAGCUAUGGAUUUGGAGCACAGCCCUCUGGUUCCUCCAGUGACUUUAAGGGAUGUGUAAAUAGCAUAUACCACUGUGUGGAAGCUGCUGCUUAAAAUCAAAGCUUGAGCAGCUAGAUGAAUGUGCCUGGUGCACAGAUAAUUGAAGGAGAGCAAAGUACAAUGAGGUGUCCAACUUGGGGAACGUGGCAAUGUAAUUUCAUUAUAAUUCAAGUUAUUCAUUAAGAAAUUCUUAUAUGCAAACAUAUGAUUGCAAGUGAUUAGAAAAAAAAGAGCAUGUUUUUUUUUUUUUUUUUUUUUUUUUAAUGUGUGUGUCAAUGUUCUUUCCCAGAAUAAACUCUCUGAAGAGCUGCAUUUAGCAUGUAAAUGGGAUGCUAGAGUAAGGCCAUAUGUGAUGCUGAUGGAGACCAGAAAAAGACUCAUGGUUUGUACUGGAAUAAGUGAACGGUGAAGCCCCUCUAUAGCUGGAUGAGAGGAAGCUUCUGAAGACAGGUCUUGCCAUUCAUUCUAUCUCAUUACAGCUACCUGAAUGAUAGCAAGGCUGCAGCUCAGUACAGCAGCUCAUUAGUAAGAGAAGACUCUGACGUUAGUUCAGAUGUUGAUCGACGUGACUGGUAGCAUGAAAUCUGGAUUGCGUUGUCAGAAUGAGCUUUGUCAUCUGCAUGCAGCCUGAUGGCUUAUCUUGGAGAAUCAGUUUGUGAAGAGUGUGUUAAACUGUUUGCCAGGGGAUUUAAUGCUCGCUCAGCUGUUGUUUGACGCCAUGGACCGGCGUGGCUUUCUCUACCUACCAGCUUACAAAAGGCCAGGUGAAAAGAUCAGGAAAAGGCAAGACAAAUUUCCAAAGCUGCCUGCUAGAGCCCGGGGCCUGCUCAAAGCCGUGAGCUGUGUGACGUGAGUGCAGCUGCUUGAAAGUUAGGUCAUGGCAGUGCUCAUGGAGGUGCUGACAAUAUGCCCGUGUGCCUAUGUUGCAUGUGUCAGUGCAGUUCUCUGGCAGGACUAAUGUAUCACUGUUAUUAUCCAGUCUUUUGCCCUAAUGCCACAUGACAGAACGGAAAAAUCUUGCGUAUCUCAGUUCUCCAUUGGAGCAUUAAAGGCAAUUUCAAAUUGUUCUGCAUUAAAAGCUUAUCAAGCACGAUGUGGCCUUCCGGGGCUUUGUCCCUGGCAUGCUCUGGAUGCCCUUCCUGCACACAGCUCCAAGUGCACUGCUGCUAGCAGCAGCCCCCAUGGAUGCUCAGGAGGAGCCUGCGAACUGUUCUCAUGCUGUUUUCCUUCACAGGAUCUUUUUCCCAGCUCGACCAUUCUAAACAGUUGCUGGUUUCCUGUGACCUUUUGGACCUACGCUUCAGUUUCUUGUACACUACAAUUGAGCUUCCCUCUCCUUGCCUUGUUAUGAGCUAGCACAUGAUGGAUGAGCCCUCAGCAUGCCUCGAGGUGCAGCAGGAGCAGCGGAGGAAGUAAAGACAGCAGAUCUACUUCAGCAAAUUAGCAGCAACAGCAGGCUCUGUUGUGGCAGUUCUGUUGAAUGCCAUCAUUUUAACUGUUCACUAUGGAAUAGUUCCUAAAUGGCAUUUAUAUUUAAGUCAGUUUAUUAUAUUAUUCCAGCCAUGCAAAGCUGUACUACAAAUUUACCAGCUCAGGCACAAAAUCUAUUCACCCACCCUUUUCCAAGUUGAUGAUAAUGGACCCCCUCCUCUUUCUCUCUUUUUUUCCCUCAAAUGAUUAUAUUUUCUUGCCCAUCAAAACAAAUCACUCAUCUUGGGUGAAUAAAAUUUUGCAAGCCUGCACUCUGUAGGAUGUCACUGA